AUUGAACGCUGGCGGAAUGCUUUACACAUGCAAGUCGAACGGCAGCACGGGGGCAACCCUGGUGGCGAGUGGCGAACGGGUGAGUAAUACAUCGGAACGUGCCCGGUCGUGGGGGAUAACGUAGCGAAAGUUACGCUAAUACCGCAUACGAUCUGAGGAUGAAAGCGGGGGACCUUCGGGCCUCGCGCGAUCGGAGCGGCCGAUGUCAGAUUAGGUAGUUGGUGGGGUAAAGGCCUACCAAGCCGACGAUCUGUAGCUGGUCUGAGAGGACGACCAGCCACACUGGGACUGAGACACGGCCCAGACUCCUACGGGAGGCAGCAGUGGGGAAUUUUGGACAAUGGGCGCAAGCCUGAUCCAGCCAUUCCGCGUGCAGGACGAAGGCCUUCGGGUUGUAAACUGCUUUUGUAUGGAACGAAAAGGCUCUGGCUAAUACCUGGGGCUCAUGACAGUACCGUAAGAAUAAGCACCGGCUAACUACGUG
rnacentral:rRNA from 1 species